UGGGGAAUAUUGGACAAUGGGCGAAAGCCUGAUCCAGCCAUGCCACGUGUGUGAAGAAGGUCUUCGGAUUGUAAAGCACUUUAAGUUGGGAGGAAGGGCAUUAACCUAAUACGUUAGUGUUUUGACGUUACCGACAGAAUAAGCACCGGCUAACUCUGUGCCAGCAGCCGCGGUAAUACAGAGGGUGCAAGCGUUAAUCGGAAUUACUGGGCGUAAAGCGCGCGUAGGUGGUUUGUUAAGUUGGAUGUGAAAUCCCCGGGCUCAACCUGGGAACUGCAUUCAAAACUGACUGACUAGAGUAUGGUAGAGGGUGGUGGAAUUUCCUGUGUAGCGGUGAAAUGCGUAGAUAUAGGAAGGAACACCAGUGGCGAAGGCGACCACCUGGACUAAUACUGACACUGAGGUGCGAAAGCGUGGGGAGCAAACA
rnacentral:rRNA from 1 species